rnacentral:rRNA from 1 species
UACGGAGGGGGCUAGCGUUGUUCGGAAUUACUGGGCGUAAAGCGCACGUAGGCGGCUUUGUAAGUUAGAGGUGAAAGCCCAGGGCUUAACCCUGGAAUUGCCUUUAAGACUGCAUCGCUAGAAUCGUGGAGAGGUGAGUGGAAUUCCGAGUGUAGAGGUGAAAUUCGUAGAUAUUCGGAAGAACACCAGUGGCGAAGGCGGCUCACUGGACCGGCAUUGACGCUGAGGUGCGAAAAGCGUGGGGAGCCAAACAGG